GACGAACGCUGGCGGCGUGCCUAAUACAUGCAAGUGGGACGCAAGGGAACACACUGUGUUUGCACACCGUGUUUUCUUGAGUCGCGAACGGGUGAGUAACGCGUAGGUAACCUGCCUAUUAGCGGGGGAUAACUAUUGGAAACGAUAGCUAAUACCGCAUAAUAUUAAUUAUUGCAUGAUAAUUGAUUGAAAGAUGCAAGCGCAUCACUAGUAGAUGGACCUGCGUUGUAUUAGCUAGUUGGUAAGGUAAGAGCUUACCAAGGCGACGAUACAUAGCCGACCUGAGAGGGUGAUCGGCCACACUGGGACUGAGACACGGCCCAGACUCCUACGGGAGGCAGCAGUAGGGAAUCUUCGGCAAUGGACGAAAGUCUGACCGAGCAACGCCGCGUGAGUGAAGAAGGUUUUCGGAUCGUAAAGCUCUGUUGUAAGUCAAGAACGUGUGUGAGAGUGGAAAGUUCACACAG
rnacentral:rRNA from 1 species